UACGGAGGAUGCAAGCGUUAUCCGGAUUCAUUGGGUUUAAAGGGUGCGUAGGCGGCUCUUUAAGUCAGUGGUGAAAUCCUGCCGCUUAACGGUAGAAUUGCCAUUGAUACUGAAGAGCUUGAGUACAGUUGAGGUAGGCGGAAUGUGUAGUGUAGCGGUGAAAUGCUUAGAUAUUACACAGAACACCAAUUGCGAAGGCAGCUUACUAAACUGUUACUGACGCUGAUGCACGAAAGCGUGGGGAGCGAACAGG
rnacentral:rRNA from 1 species